rnacentral:rRNA from 1 species
AUUUUAUUAAUAGGGUAGUAUAUUUUUAUAUAAAAACCUUCAUAAACUGGCGGCAUAUCAUCCCCUUAGAGGAACAUGUUAUUUAAUCGAUAAUACACGUUAAUUUUCACUUAAUUUCAAAUUUUAUAUACCUCCAUCCAAAGUUUAUUAAAUAUAUUCUUUAAAUAUCAAUCUUAAAAGUUAGGUAAAGGUGUAAAACAUAAUAAAGUAUUAAAUGUGUUACAUUAAACAUAAUUUAAGGAUAUUUACUUCAAUUAUAAAAGAAAAAGGAUUUAACAGUAUAUUUUCUUUAACAUAAUAAAUUGAACGGGAAAAUUAAUGUGU